AUUAGAUACCUGGUAGUCCACGCCGUAAACGAUGUCUACUUGGAGGUUGUGCCCUUGAGGCGUGGCUUCCGGAGCUAACGCGUUAAGUAGACCGCCUGGGGAGUACGGCCGCAAGGUUAAAACUCAAAUGAAUUGACGGGGGCCCGCACAAGCGGUGGAGCAUGUGGUUUAAUUCGAUGCAACGCGAAGAACCUUACCUGGUCUUGACAUCCACAGAAGUUUUCAGAGAUGAGAAUGUGCCUUCGGGAACCGUGAGACAGGUGCUGCAUGGCUGUCGUCAGCUCGUGUUGUGAAAUGUUGGGUUAAGUCCCGCAACGAGCGCAACCCUUAUCCUUUGUUGCCAGCGAUUAGGUCGGGAACUCAAAGGAGACUGCCAGUGAUAAACUGGAGGAAGGUGGGGAUGACGUCAAGUCAUCAUGGCCCUUACGACCAGGGCUACACACGUGCUACAAUGGCGCAUACAAAGAGAAGCGACCUCGCGAGAGCAAGCGGACCUCAUAAAGUGCGUCGUAGUCCGGAUUGGAGUCUGCAACUCGACUCCAUGAAGUCGGAAUCGCUAGUAAUCGUGGAUCAGAAUGCCACGGUGAAUACGUUCCCGGGCCUUGUACACACCGCCCGUCACACCAUGGGAGUGGGUUGCAAAAGA
rnacentral:rRNA from 1 species